rnacentral:rRNA from 1 species
GACAGAGGCCUCAAGCGUUAGGCGGAAUCACUGGGCUUAAAGCGUGUGUAGGCGGAUCGUUAAGUGCCUUGUGAAAUCCCACGGCUUAACUGUGGAACGGCUGGGCAUACUGGCGGUCUUGAGCCAUCUAGGGGCGACUGGAACAAACGGUGGAGCGGUGAAAUGCGUAGAUAAUCGUUUGGAACGCCAAUGGUGAAAACAGGUCGCUGGGGAUGAGCUGACGCU